rnacentral:lncRNA from 1 species
AAUAGAUAAGAUUCUAUUAAGAAUGAGUUGUCAUAUGGAACAUAUGGAAGUGUGUCCAUAUUGGGAAUUGAAUAUUGAGAAAUCUAUGACUAGAUUAGAAACUUCUAUGCAAAAGGAUGUUCAAAGAAUGUACUUUGAGUGAGAGACAUCACGUCUAUGGAAUUGUCUUGUAACAAUCUCCGAUAGAGGACUUUGUAAUAUCAUUGGCAAUAGUCUUUGUGACUUUGGUGCAGUGACAUUACGAAAGGAUAGUUGCAUAGAAUGUUAGAAUCUAGCAUAUUCUAUAAGUAGCGAGAAUUUGAUAUUCUUACACUUAUGAAAAAGGUUUUGGAGUUGUAAAAUGAGAAUGAUCGGAAAUGUGUUCAAUUUGUCUAUUUCACAGGAUUUGGAGUUGUAAAAUGAGAAUGAUCGGAAAUGUGUUCAAUUUGUCUAUUUCACAAAAGUAAGAACCAUAGGUAAACAUUGCGUGCAUGCUAGGAGCAUGGGACAAGUGUUGUAAUUCAAGUAAGAAGUUGAUUAACCGAAACGACAAAUAAUGAGUAAUCAAUAUGGUGAUAAAUAAAAGGUGUUUUAUUUAUACUCAAAGGUUUGAGGCCAUAUGGGAUUAGUAUUAUUCUUGUGUUUCACUUUGCAUGUUUUGACUUCCAGAAUAAUUGAAUUUAUUAAGAAUAAUCGAAUUAUUCGAACAGGGCCACAGUCGUUCAUAUGUUGGAAGUAGAUAUGAAUGAAGAAUGUCAUGAAUUGGUGUGUGGAAUGUCUAGAAGAGUAUGAGACAUAAGCAAAUGUUUGCUGCAAUGUUCAUGAGUGCUUAUGAAUAUGAAUUUGAGCAUUGGAUUAAACCCACGCUCACUUGGAUCACUCCAUGAAUUGUAUCACGAGUGAUUGGUGAGACGAUAACAUCUUAUAUUCUUGAAACCGAGAUGUGUGAGUUGUAUCUUGCGAAUCGGUUGCACAUUGAUAAUAUGUAAACGCACUAGUAACUUGGUGUUAUAAAACAUAUUGUUGUGUGUGAUUCGGUGCGUGAGUGCAAGCAAGCAUUGUAUCAAAGUUUAUCCAUUCCUUUUAUUCAAAGUAGGAUAAAAGCGAUAUCUUUGGGCCCCUCGAUGGUUUAGUGAUGACAAACGUAAAUGCUCGGCCGGGCUAGGGCUAAUUUGAUUUGUUCAAUUAGUCAGUCGUCAUAAAUCAGAAAUCGAGAUAUAGUACAAAGAGAAUGAUUUGAAAUCAUAUCUCAUAUGAUAUCUAGAAUGGAGGAAUAUAUGAUCCCUUAUCUAAGGACACGCGUAUUUGAUAUGAUCAGAGUUGACAGCGGCUUUGGAAAGCUACGAUUGCAGAUCGGGAUCCGAAGUCAUACGCAGAAUAGUUAUUAGACUUAUCCAAGUGGGAGACUGUUGGAUUAGUGUCUAAGUCCAUAACUAUUUUGGUAUGUACUUGACCCGAUGGUGCAUGGUCCUUUUGGGUUGCCUUCACCAAAGCAACUUGAUUGGAGAAAAAUAAAGAGAGAAAGGUUAUUAUGAUUUCUUAAUAUGUUAUAAGAAUAAUAUAUUAAAGGAGAAAUCAUAUUUAUUUAAUUAAUAUUGGUCAAUAAUUAAUUAAGAAUUAAUUUUGUGAUCAAAUGUAAUUAAUUAAACUAGAGGGGCUGAAUUGUAAUUAUGUGAUAGUUGCAAAAUAGGGCAAUGGUUAUCCUUGUUAAAGGAUGGACGAAUUCAAGGAUAAGGAUAUCCUUAAAAUCGUCCAAAGGUCCAAGAGAUAGGGAUUUCCAAGGCUUAUCUUAUGGUUGCUUGAUGGGCAAGUAACUAGAUAAGGAUAAGGACUGAAACC